UACGUAGGGUGCGAGCGUUGUCCGGAUUUAUUGGGCGUAAAGAGCUCGUAGGCGGUUUGUCGCGUCUGCCGUGAAAGUCCGGGGCUCAACUCCGGAUCUGCGGUGGGUACGGGCAGACUAGAGUGAUGUAGGGGAGACUGGAAUUCCUGGUGUAGCGGUGAAAUGCGCAGAUAUCAGGAGGAACACCGAUGGCGAAGGCAGGUCUCUGGGCAUUAACUGACGCUGAGGAGCGAAAGCAUGGGGAGCGAUCCGG
rnacentral:rRNA from 1 species